UUCUCUAUCCAUGUAUUUGUCUAGGAUGCUUCAGAAGGUUGGCCUUAACUGUUAGAAAAAAGAAGGCAGUUCAACUCAAUAAGCAUUUAUUAAAUGCCUAUUAUGAGGCAGCUUGCUGGGCUAGGAGCUGGAAAUACAAAGAAAACAAGGAAACAAUUUGUUCUUAAGUGAUUGCGCCAGUACAUCCAAUUAUAUAAAGUCCUCCAACAGAUCAUUGUGGUGUGGUGGUAACCUUGGUUUGGAAAGAUAUGACAGCAGAGCUCAAAUCCCAGUGGCUCCAGUAAGAACUGCACAAGCCUGGACCCAGGGAGGAAUUGUCCAGCCUCACUGAGUUCAGAGAGGCUCAUUACCAGAAGGCAGGCCACCAGGUGAUAGCUUUAUCUUUGUGAUGAGUGUUUCUGGCCACAGCAACUCAUGAAGAUACAUCUAUCAAGGGGUGAUCUGUGCCUGUGGAGGGAGGAUUUGUCCUGAUGAAAUCAGGGAUCUAUUAAAUACUGCCCUAGAAAUCACAAAAGGAUGAAUUUAAUGAAUCAGAAGCUAAUAAACUGCCGUACAAAUUUAUUGGUUUUAAAUGAAGGCUGUUUCCAGAAGGACAAGAGCCCUAUACAUCAAUUCAUCCAAUACGCCCAUCCAGAACUCCAUUGUCGGUGUAACACCUGGCCCAAAGCCCACUGGCAUGGGACUCUCUCCUCACUGAUGGAGAUAAACGUCCUUCCCUAUUUGAUGGACAAGUGGAACUACGGAAAUAUCAGGAGAGCUCCAGCCUUCUUCAGGCCUCUUUAGGGACUCAUUAAGCUUUGAGUCUUUUUCAAGACUUUAAGCAUUGAGUUACUUCAGGCACUUCUGGCUCCUAGCUUCAAGAGAGAAGAUGGAAGAGACCAACCCCACUUCAGGUUACUGAAGGAAAAGACUCUGGGAAGAUAUGAGUGUUUCUGGCGGUCUCCGUCAUGUCUCUACUCCCAGUUUACUACUUCAAGGAGACUUCAGGGAGUUUGCUCUUAGGUGAGAUCCAGGACACCCUCUUUGGCUGAGAUGAGUUAUCUUGAUCCCAAUGGGAGAGUCCCUUCAUUCUGUAUUGUCUAGUAUAUAUUCUCCUACAUAUACCUUCCCUGAUUUCUAUUUUGCCAAGAUUUGGAUAAAUGGGUUUCUUUGUUAUUCACUGUGUGUAUUCAUUGUGCAACUGGUAUUUGGUAAGA